UACGUAGGUGGCAAGCGUUGUCCGGAUUUACUGGGCGUAAAGAGCGCGCAGGCGGUCGUUCAAGUCGCGUGUGAAAGCCCCCGGCUCAACUGGGGAGGGUCACGCGAUACUGAUCGACUCGAAGGCAGGAGAGGGUAGUGGAAUUCCCGGUGUAGUGGUGAAAUGCGUAGAUAUCUGGAGGAACACCGGUGGCGAAGGCGGCAUCCUGGACCGGUAGUUGACGCUGAUGCGCGAAAGCCAGGGGAGCAAACGGG
rnacentral:rRNA from 1 species